rnacentral:lncRNA from 12 species
UCAAUUUUCUUAACGUACAGUGUAUUGUUAGUUGCAGGGGCAGAGCUCAGUGCUUCGUCUGUUGCGUAUGAACCCGGGGCUCAUCCCAUCACCUUCCCUCCUUCAUGCCCAUUGCCCAGUCACCCCGUCUGCUCACCCACCUCUCCUCCAGCAACCGAGAGGUCGUAUCGUUGAGCUGGGUCUGGAAGAGGAGCAUGCAUGGCUUUGGAAGUACCUUUCUGUAAAUAUGUCAAG